rnacentral:misc_RNA from 1 species
GAUGAAGAACGUAGUGAAACGCGAUAUGUAAUGUGAAUUGCAGAAUUCAGUGAAUCAUCGAAUCUUUGAACGCACAUGGCGCCUUCCAGUAUCCUGGGAGGCAUGCCUGUCCGAGCGCCGUUUCAACCCUCGAGCCCCCGUGGCCCGGCGUUGGGGAUCUGCCACGGCAGGCCCCUAAAACCAGUGGCGGACCCGAAGGCCCUCUCCUUUGCGCAGUAGCAUCAGCCUCGCAUUGGGAUCCCUCGGCGUCCUGCCUCUAAACCCCCCACAAGUCCGCUCCGGCGGCACCAAGGUUGACCUCGGAUCAGGUAGGAAUACCCGCUGAACUUAAGCAUAUCAAUAAGCGGAGGA